rnacentral:rRNA from 1 species
CACGGUAAGGAUUGACGGACUGAAGGCUCUUUCUCGAUUCCGUGGAAAGUGGUGCAUGGCCGUUUUUUGGUUGGUGGAUCGAUCCGUCUGGUUAAUUCCGUUAACGAACGAGACCUCGGCACUCCGAAUAGCGCGGCGGACGUCGCGGCCUCCGGGCCGUCUUCCGCACGAGCUUCUUAGAGGGACCGUCCCCCGCCGGGGAAGGAGGUGCGAGGCAACGACAGGUCUGUGAUGCCCUUAGAUGUUCUGGGCCGCACGCGCAUUACACUGACGCGUCCAACGGGUGACUCCCGACCCGAAGGGGCCGGGGAAUCCGCAAGGCGCGUCGUGAUGGGGAUUGAACGUUGCAAUUGUUGUUCACGAACGAGGAAUUCCUAGUAGGCGCGGGUCAUCAACCCGCGCCGAUUACGUCCCU